UUGCGAUGGCUGUCGUCAGCUCGUGUCGUGAGAUUGUUCGGUUAAGUCCGCUAACGAGCGCAACCUCGUCGUAUGUUAUAUGUGUCAUACGAGACUGCCGGUAAAAGCCGGAGGAAGGUGAGGAUGAUGUCAAGUCAGCAUGACCUUUAUAUCCAGGGCUACACACACGCUACAAUGGUCUGUACAAUGGGUAGCCAAGCCGCGAGGCGGAGCCAAUCCUGAAAGCAGGCCUCAGUUCAGAUUGCAGUCUGCAACUCGAUUGCAUGAAGCCGGAGUUGCUAGUAACCGCAGGUCAGCAAUACUGCGGUGAAUACGUUCCCGGGUCUU
rnacentral:rRNA from 1 species